UACGUAGGGUGCAAACGUUGUUCGGAAUUACUGGGCGUAAAGCGCGUGUAGGUGGCGAGGCAAGUCGGGUGUGAAAGCCCUGGGCUCAACCCAGGAAGUGCACUCGAUACUGCCUAGCUAGAGUCCCGGAGAGGUUGGUGGAACUCUCGGUGUAGAGGUGAAAUUCGUAGAUAUCGAGAAGAACACCGGUGGCGAAGGCGGCCAACUGGACGGUGACUGACACUGAGACGCGAAAGCGUGGGGAGCAAACAGG
rnacentral:rRNA from 1 species